rnacentral:snRNA from 1 species
UCACUCUGGCUUCUCUUCAACGUAUGAUUCUUUCGCCUUUUACUAAAGAAUUCCGUGGAGAGGAGCAGUUCAAUGAGUCUUGAACA